GAUGAACGCUGGCGGCGUGCUUAACACAUGCAAGUCGAACGAGAAGUGAAGACGGAAACCUUCGGGCGGAAGGCUUUAUUUCGAGUGGCGGACGGGUGAGUAACGCGUGGGUAACCUGCCUCAUACAGGGGGAUAACAGUUGGAAACGACUGUUAAUACCGCAUAAGACCACAGCACCGCAUGGUGCGGGGGUAAAAACUCCGGUGGUAUGAGAUGGACCCGCGUUCGAUUAGCCAGUUGGCGGGGUAACGGCCCACCAAAGCGACGAACGAUAGCCGAUCUGAGAGGAUGACCGGCCACAUUGGGACUGAGACACGGCCCAAACUCCUACGGGAGGCAGCAGUGGGGAAUAUUGCACAAUGGGGGAAAACCUGAUGCAGCGACGCCGCGUGAGUGAAGAAGUAUUUCGGUAUGUAAAGCUCUAUCAGCAGGGAAGAAAAUGACGGUACCUGAGUAAGAAGCCCCGGCUAACUACGUG
rnacentral:rRNA from 1 species